rnacentral:rRNA from 1 species
GACGAACGCUGGCGGCGUGCUUAACACAUGCAAGUCGAGCGGAAAGGCCCUUCGGGUACGUCGAGCGGCGAACGGGUGAGUAACACGUGAGUAACCUGCCCUUCACUUUGGGAUAACCCUCGGAAACGGGGGCGUAAUACCGGAUAUGACAUGGGAUCGCAUGGUCUUGUGUGGAAAGUUUUUCGGUGGGGGAUGGCUCGCGGCCUAUCAGCUUGUUGGUGGGGUGAUGGCCUACCAAGGCGACGACGGGAGCCGGCCUGAGAGGGCGACCGGCC